rnacentral:tRNA from 1 species
UGUCGUUUAGCUCAGCUGGGAGAGCACCUCCCUUACAAGGAGGGGUCACUGGUUCGAUCCCAGUAACGACCACCA